UGGGCCCCUCCCUUCAGUCAGACCCAUCCAGAGCCCCUUCUUGGCAGAUGACUGCUUACCCCGUGCCAUCUCCUUAACUGUACAUCGGGAGCCAAAAGUGCCAUAGCCACAACUCUCUGAAAAUACACCCCGACAUGAAGCUCUCCCAUUGGAAAUCAAGAGAUCUAUGUGAUCCUGGGAUGACAGUCACUCCCCAGCGACAACCCCUGUAGUCUCCCAACCUGCUCUGUGAAGGCAUCAAAGUUCUCCUGGCUCCAAAGACCAACCUCAAGUUUACUUGGCAUUUCACAAACACUUUUAAGGAAGUUUUUUAAAUUCUUGGAGAGAGACAAAGAGAACAAGCAGGGUGAGCUGCAGCGGGAGAGGGCGAAGCAGGCUCCCCACUGAGCAGGGAGCCCAAUGGAGGUCUCAAAGCCAGGUCCCUGGGAUCAUGGCCUGACCUGAAAGCAGGGGCCUCACUGACUGAGCCACCCAGUGCCCUUCCUUGAUCUUAUCAUCCAUCUGAGUGGUCGAAAUGUGGGUAGACCCAUUCAUCCCAUGUGGCGGCCAUGAAGAUGUCCCAUCUAACCAACUGUGGACAUGCGUGCCUACGUUAGGUGGAGUGAUCGACUGUCUGACACUCUGAUUACACUUGAGACCGAGACAGUGUAUCUACUGUAUUCUUUCAAUGACCUUAGUGCUUAGAAAUGUGUGUGCAAUCCUAGGCGCUUUAUCUCUAUUCUUGGAGAAAGGAAUCCCAACCAGCACUUUCCCUCUACUGAGUGGACCAUGGGCUGCUUUGCCUUCCCCAGUGACCUAUGCUCUGGCCACAUGAAGGAUAAGGAGCAGGGCCAGUUAGAUGGAAUCCCAGAAGUCUUUUGCAAACAGGAAAACGGCCUGCUUUCCUCGUGCUCUGUGCACCCAGGGUGCCACAGGCCAAAGUUGCAUCAGGCCAUCAGGAGUGGGGUGGUUUGUGUUGUGGAGGGAGUACCUUAAUGUCUCUUGGCCCUGUACAUACGGGGCACUGUAUUUGCAAAGCUGCUGCCAGGAGAUCCCGGAGGAGAUGUUCUGUGGCUUCAACUCUUCUAACUACCUAGACAGUGAUCAAGUGCACCAGGCAAACAAAGAGCAGUGCUGUUCUGAGUUGGAUGAUUACGGGUGACUCCAUGAAAUACUGGUCUUCCUAAAAGAUAUGAGUUGAGAGAAAUGAGGGUGUUGCUCAGCUACUGGAAUGUGUUGAAGUUGCCAAUGCUCUGCCCUGCGUCCCAACCAACCAAUGGUAUUUUGAAGCCUAGAACCUUUUUCUGUGUGGGCCCUGAAGUCCUUUGUCCUGCAAAACUUCCCGAGGUGAUGCGUGUCUCUGGGCUGAGCGCCAGUCCCUGUUCUUCCCAGUGGCCCGUGGUUUGGAAGCUGACUACAGUGCCCCUCCUUGUGUCUCUGGUGUGGAAAGGAAUCAUCCACCCUGACCCCGGGUGAGGCCUGGAUCAGGCGGACGCUCCGGGAAGGCAGAAUGGAUACUUUUGUACAGUCCUGCUGCGAUCCUUCCAGGAGAGGAGCCUCUCAGAAAACGCAGUCGUUUUCCGUGUCUACCAGGUGUUCAGCACAGCCCAAAGGGUCCUGGGCCAGCAGCUCCACAGGAGAGUGACCACCAUAUCCACAGCACAGGGCCCGAGGCUCGCCUCUACUGCCUGCAUGUUUCGGGAAUGUCACUGCACCUCCCUGAGCUUCCUUUUCCUCCUCUGAGAAGGGCUGUGGAAGAGGAUAACCUCAUGGGGCUACUGUGGGCAAUCCCGGCAGAAAACAUGGCCUAGACUUCUCUGCUCCCUGGCCCUGUCGCAAGGGCUGCUGGGCAUCUUCCUGUGGAGCAGCUGUCUCUCCCCUGUCGGCGUGGACGCGGCCCCGCGGCCUCCCGAGCCUCCCCGC